rnacentral:rRNA from 1 species
UUGUGCCUACGGGGCGCAGCAGUGAGGAAUAUUGGUCAAUGGGCGGGAGCCUGAACCAGCCAAGUCGCGUGAGGGACGACGGUCCUAUGGACUGUAAACCUCUUUUGUCGGGGAACAAAGGCGCCCACGGGUGGGCGGAUGAGUGUACCCGAAGAAAAAGCAUCGGCUAACUACGUGCCAGCAGCCGCGGUAAUACGUAGGUGGCAAGCGUUGUCCGGAUUUAUUGGGCGUAAAGCGAGUGCAGGCGGUUCAAUAAG